rnacentral:rRNA from 1 species
UACGAAGGGGGCUAGCGUUGUUCGGAAUCACUGGGCGUAAAGCGCACGUAGGCGGAUUGUUAAGUCGGGGGUGAAAUCCUGAGGCUCAACCUCAGAACUGCCUUCGAUACUGGAGAUCUUGAGUCCGGGAGAGGUGAGUGGAACUGCGAGUGUAGAGGUGAAAUUCGUAGAUAUUCGCAAGAACACCAGUGGCGAAGGCAGCUCACUGGCCCGGUACUGACGCUGAGAUACGAAAGCGUGGGGAGCAAACAGG